UACGAAGGGGGCUAGCGUUGUUCGGAUUUACUGGGCGUAAAGCGCACGUAGGCGGUUUGUUAAGUGAGAGGUGAAAUCCCAGAGCUCAACUCUGGAACUGCCUUUCAUACUGGCAAGCUAGAGUCCGGAAGAGGUAAGUGGAACUCCUAGUGUAGAGGUGGAAUUCGUAGAUAUUAGGAAGAACACCAGUGGCGAAGGCGGCUUACUGGUCCGGAACUGACGCUGAGGUGCGAAAGCGUGGGGAGCAAACAGGAUUGAGAU
rnacentral:rRNA from 1 species